CUGGAUAUUAGAUACAAUCACAAUCACACGAUGAUAAUCGAGAGUUCUCGAGGAUAAAAACCCGCCAAGGACGAAAGAUUACGAUUGGCCAUCAUAAAUUUAAAAUGAUACGAGAAGCGACGGACAUCUGACUUUUUCGGUAACAAAAAUAUUUUGACAUCCAUUUGCUCAGUGGGCCGAUUACAGACAAAAAAUAUAUGAAACUUUCAUAAAUUCAAAUAAUUAAAUAUGAUAAACAAUUUU